GCCUGAGGUGAGAAUCUAAUGCUGAUGGAGAUCAGCGUGGAAAAGUUGGAGUAGGUUUUAUUGGAAUUUGAUCAAGGUAGCCUUGGUUAAAAUAAAUUUUUAUAUGAAACAAAUUAGCUAACUUGAGUUUCUGUCAGUUAUUACGCCCCUUGGUUCAAAAGAAAGGAGCCAUUGGUUAGAGUCUUGAGCAGUAUUGCAGGGACAC
rnacentral:lncRNA from 1 species